ACUCCUACGGGAGGCAGCAGUGGGGAAUAUUGGACAAUGGGCGCAAGCCUGAUCCAGCCAUGCCGCGUGAGUGAUGAAGGCCUUAGGGUUGUAAAGCUCUUUUGUCCGGGACGAUAAUGACGGUACCGGAAGAAUAAGCCCCGGCUAACUCUGUGCCAGCAGCCGCGGUAAU
rnacentral:rRNA from 1 species